rnacentral:rRNA from 1 species
CCUACGGGAGGCUGCAGUGGGGAAUCUUGCGCAAUGGGGGCAACCCUGACGCCGCAACGCCGCGUGAUUGAAGAAGGCCUUCGGGUUUUAAAAAUCUUUAAUCGGGGACGAAUUUUGACGGUACCCUAAGAAUAAGCUCCUGCUAAAUACGUUCCAGCAGCCGCGGUAAUCCGUAUGGAGCAAGCGUUAUCCGGAUUUACUGGGUGUAAAGGGCGUGUAGGCGGGCAUGCAAGCCAGAAGUGAAAUCUGGGGGCUUAACCCCCGAGCUGCUUUUGGAACUGCGGGUCUUGAGUGAUGGAGAGGCAGGCGGAAUUCCCAGUGUAGCGGUGAAAUGCGUAGAUAUUGGGAGGAACACCAGUGGCGAAGGCGGCCUGCUGGACAUUAACUGACGCUGAGGCGCGAAAGCGUGGGGAGCAAACAGGAUUAGAUACCCGAGUAGUC